ACUGUGAAGCAUGCACGCCAGUGUGUGUGGAGUCGUCGUUGAAAUACCAGUCUGGUCGUGCUGGAUGUCUAACCUGGGUCCGUGAUCCGGAUCAGGGACAGUGUCUGAUGGGUAGUUUAACUGGGGCGGUUGCCUCCUAAAGAGUAACGGAGGCGCCCAAAGGUUCCCUCAGCCUGGUUGGCAAUCAGGUGUUGAGUGUAAGUGCACAAGGGAGCUUGACUGUGAGACCGACGGGUCGAGCAGGGACGAAAGUCGGGACUAGUGAUCCGGCGGUGGCUUGUGGAAGCGCCGUCGCUCAACGGAUAAAAGGUACCCCGGGGAUAACAGGCUGAUCUUCCCCAAGAGUCCAUAUCGACGGGAUGGUUUGGCACCUCGAUGUCGGCUCGUCGCAUCCUGGGGCUGGAGUCGGUCCCAAGGGUUGGGCUGUUCGCCCAUUAAAGCGGUACGCGAGCUGGGUUUAGAACGUCGUGAGACAGUUCGGUCCCUAUCCGCUGUGCGCGUAGGAGUCUUGAGAAGGGCUGUCCCUAGUACGAGAGGACCGGGACGGACGAACCUCUGGUGUGCCAGUUGUUCUGCCAAGGGCAUGGCUGGUUGGCUACGUUCGGGAGGGAUAACCGCUGAAAGCAUCUAAGCGGGAAGCCUGCUUCGAGAUGAGGACUCCCACCCACUUGAUGGGGUAAGGCUCCCAGUAGACGACUGGGUUGAUAGGCCGGAUCUGGAAGCACGGUAACGUGUGGAGGUGACCGGUACUAAUAGGCCGAGGGCUUGUCCUC
rnacentral:rRNA from 1 species